CGUCGCUGUCGUCUCCAGACGCUUCUACUCGCUUUCCGCCAUGCCUCUUUUAUUGGAACCGGCGAUGCGCCCCUUGCUUCCUCCCCAAACCGACGGCGAACAUCAACCCCACCGACUUCUUCUCCCAUUAAAUAUUUCAGCUUUCUGGAGAGUGGAGUCCUUCUCGUCUGCUCCUCGUUAGAGGUCUACUGUAAACUACAUCGCGUCUAGAGCAAGACCUCGAGAAAUUUCUCAAGGUAUCGAUUUUUUUUUAAUUGAAAAUUCGGGUAGUGGUUUUGAUCAAGCUCUUGUACUCUCUCCUGCUGAUCUUUCUUUCUCUCUCUUUUUUUUCUUCCCAUUUUUAAUGAGUUUGGUGUUAUUUUUUAGAGCUUUGGAGGAGAUGGAUAGCUCGGAGUUCUCAUGGAAAUUNNN
rnacentral:lncRNA from 1 species